rnacentral:rRNA from 1 species
UCGAGGGGCAGCGAGUAGAUUGCUUGCAAUCUACGUCGGCGACCGGCUCACGGGUGCGUAACGCGUAUGCAACCUACCCAUUACAGGGGGAUAACACUGAGAAAUCGGUACUAAUACCCCAUAACAUCCAGGGAGGCAUCUUCUUGGGUUGAAAACUCCGGUGGUAAUGGAUGGGCAUGCGUUGUAUUAGUUAGUUGGUGGGGUAACGGCUCACCAAGACGACGAUACAUAGGGGGACUGAGAGGUUAACCCCCCACAUUGGUACUGAGACACGGACCAAACUCCUACGGGAGGCAGCAGUGAGGAAUAUUGGUCAAUGGACGCAAGUCUGAACCAGCCAUGCCGCGUGCAGGAAGACGGCUCUAUGAGUUGUAAACUGCUUUUGUACGAGGGUAAACGCAGAUACGUGUAUCUGUCUGAAAGUAUCGUACGAAUAAGGAUCGGCUAACUCCGUGCCAGCAGCCGCGGUAAUACGGAGGAUUCAAGCGUUAUCCGGAUUUAUUGGGUUUAAAGGGUGCGUAGGCGGUCGGAUAAGUUAGAGGUGAAAUCCCGGGGCUCAACUUCGGAAUUGCCUCUGAUACUGUUCGGCUAGAGAGUAGUUGCGGUAGGCGGAAUGUAUGGUGUAGCGGUGAAAUGCUUAGAGAUCAUACAGAACACCGAUUGCGAAGGCAGCUUACCAAGCUACUUCUGACGUUGAGGCACGAAAGCGUGGGGAGCAAACAGGAUUAGAUACCCUGGUAGUCCACGCAGUAAACGAUGAUAACUCGUUGUCGGCGAUACAAUGUCGGUGACUAAGCGAAAGCGAUAAGUUAUCCACCUGGGGAGUACGUUCGCAAGAAUGAAACUCAAAGGAAUUGACGGGGGCC